rnacentral:rRNA from 1 species
GUGGAUUAGGCAUGCAAGUCGAACGAGAAAGCAUCCUUCGGGAUGUGAGUACAGUGGCGAACGGGUGAGUAACGCGUGGGAAACCUGCAUUUGACUGGGGAACAACAGCUCUAACGGGCUGCUAAUACCGCAUAAUGCUACAGAUCACAUGUUCUGUAGUUAAAGAUGGCCUCUACUUGUAAGCUGUCGGUUAAAUAUGGUCCCGCGUCCUAUUAGCUUGUUGGUGAGGUAACGGCUCACCAAGGCAUCGAUGGGUAGCCGGCUUGAGAGAGUGGUCGGCCACACUGGGACUGAGAUACGGCCCAGACUCCUACGGGAGGCAGCAGUCGAGAGGCCUCGGCAAUGGGGGAAACCCUGACCGAGCGACGUCGCGUGGGUGAUGAAGAUCUUUGGAUCGUAAAACCCUGUCAGGUGGGAAGAAACAUCAUUUGGUUAAUACCCAAGUGACUUGACGGUACCACCAGAGGAAGCUCCGGCUAACUCCGUGCCAGCAGCCGCGGUAACACGGGGGGAGCAAGCGUUGUUCGGAUUCAUUGGGCGUAAAGAGC